UACGAAGGGUGCAAGCGUUACUCGGAAUUACUGGGCGUAAAGCGUGCGUAGGUGGUUUGUUAAGUCUGCUGUGAAAGCCCCGGGCUCAACCUGGGAAUGGCAGUGGAUACUGGCAAGCUAGAGUGCGGUAGAGGGUAGUGGAAUUCCUGGUGUAGCGGUGAAAUGCGCAGAUAUCAGGAAGAACACCCGUGGCUAAGGCGGCUCUCUAGUACGGUACUGACGCUGAGACGCGAAAGCGUGGGGAGCGAACAGG
rnacentral:rRNA from 1 species